AAAAUAUAAUUAAAUAUUUCCAUAAAUAUCUAAUUAAACCAACCAAUAACAUAAUAAUUAAACCGUAAGUCAGAAAUACUAUUUUAUGAAUAAAUAAAUAAUUCGAUCAACAAAACCAAGAAUAACUGACAAUCCUAACCGGGUUCCAAUAACCAAAAACACCAAACAUAAAACAAACGAGUUCCUAGAUCAUCCUCUCUUCCUUGCCAUGAUUCCACAAUCACACUUUAUCUUUACCUGCAUCAACAACACAAUGAGAUGCGUAAGUAUUAUCAUAAAUACUUAGUGAGGCGAUCCUCUCAUCUACGAGCUAUACACACAAGCAAAUAAAAAGGUAUAAUCACGAAUACAAUACAAACAAACCAGUCAUUGAACAAUUCACCCAAAACACAUUCACCACACCUACAUAUCAUCACACAAAACAAAUCACACAACCCAAUCGUUCAGAUAAGCUCAUGGUCACGCACUCACCUUAACAAAUUGAUUCUAAUAGCAAUUAAACCCAGGAGAGACUUUCCUUGCGUCUGAAACAGUCCAGAAACGUCCGUUAACUAUUCAAUCGCUCCGGUGAAAUCCUAGCUGCAGACGUCACAAAGCUGCCCACAAAAUCUCGUGCCGAUCGGAAAACAGACGAGACCACGAUCUCAGUUUCAAUCUCCGCUGGUCCUAAUUCGCGUAUGAGAAAACGUGUCUCACGAAACUGCGAAUAACUCAACCAAUUUUAAUCCAAAUCCAAUUCUGUAAACUGGAGAAUAACGAUAAAGGACUUGGGAAUAACUCUACCAAAUUUCGUUACCUUUUACCACGAUUUGAUAUGACGAAACUGAUUUCUCCCAAACCCUAACGAUUCUGCUCCUUCUCCUUUUCUCUCUUUUUCUCCUUUAUAAAACGAAAAGUGGCUAACCAAAGCCCUAAUCUCGAGUUUCCUUCUUUUAUAGGCACACUCUAGGGUUUCCAAUUAACCCAACCAAUUAAACCGGAUGAUUUAAAAAACAAAUCCUAACCGAUUUUCCGGUUCACGGGCGUUACAAAGAGUAUUGUUGCAAAAGGGUAGUAAAAAAAGGUUAAUUUUGCAAAUCUACCAACGUACUUUAAGAAAGUACUUUAACAAACCAAGCUUACAGGGUCGCGUCAAGAUGGCCUGGAAGAUAAAUUUACCUGGCCUCCAUGUCUACAGCAUGCAUUAAUUGAAUCU
rnacentral:sRNA from 1 species